rnacentral:rRNA from 1 species
CGCAUCUGUGCAUGCAGCAUAUCAAUAAGCGGAGGAAAAGAAACUAACAAGGAUUCCCCUAGUAACGGCGAGUGAAGUGGGAAGAGCUCAAAUUUGAAAUCUUAAAGGGUUUCCCUUUACGAAUUGUAGUUUAAAGAAGUGUUUUCUGUUGAGGUUUUGGUAAAAGUUCUUUGGAAUAGGACAUCAUAGAGGGUGAGAAUCCCGUAUUUGACCUUUACUUUCAACUUUGUGAUACACUUUCAAAGAGUCGGAUUGUUUGGGAAUGCAGUCCAAAAUGGGUGGUAAAUUUCAUCUAAAGCUAAAUAUUGGCGAGAGACCGAUAGCGAACAAGUACCGUGAGGGAAAGAUGAAAAGAACUUUGAAAAGAGAGUUAAACAGUACGUGAAAUUGUCAAAAGGGAAGCGUUUGACACCAGUGUUGUUUUUCUGAAAAUCAAUUAAAGAACUGUUUAUGCUAAGCUGUUUAGACUUUAUCAGCUAUCUGUUUAGUUUUGAGCUUUUCUUUAAUGCACUUUUCAGUUAACAAGUCAACAUCAAUUUCUUUUGCUGUAAAAAAGCUUGAGGAAGGUGGCUUGAGAUUCGUCUUAAGUGUUUAUAGCCUCUUGCCUAUGCAGUCGGAGAGAUUGAGGUCUGCAGCGUAGAUCCUUCGGGGCUAAAUGCAUUUGUGCUAAGUUAUAGCAUUUUAUAGACAACUUGUUGACUAUGAUUUGUCUUGUAGCUUACUCGCUUAUGUUAUUUUACCUACGCUUAGGAUGUUGAAUCUGUGCGAGACUA